GCCAGACCACAACACAGUUUUUGAGGACGCUCACGGUUAAAAUAAGCCGGCGAAACGCAGCAUUCACACUGCAAGACCGCAAAAAGGAAAACACACAGACAGACACACACACACUCAAAGGGGACAUACUGUGGAAAAUGACAAUGGGGUGCGGGGAGGAAUCGCAAUUCGAUGAGAAAGGUUUUAUGAUGGGAAAGAAGAUAUUUUAACGAUGGGUGAGCAGUAUGGAAACAUGUUUCGGGUAAUACUUGGCCAGGCGCACAUUUAUAGGACACCUAUUUCAAUUACGACAGAGAAAAAGGUGCACACUAUGUCUCCUUUAAGGGCUGCAGCACAAACGGGGUGAAGCGGUUGGUCUGGAGUUCACUUACCUUUUUAUUGUUACCAAUUUCAAAAUUAUUUCAAGAGGGGACGAGAGGGGGAUUGGGUUUGUGAAUGGAGUUAGCUACUCAUGGGAGCUCAACACUCUCACACGUGCCCCCCAAAAUCUCUAAAAUGACAGCUCGUCUGAUUUGAAACUACGUCUACGCAGAGCCACACAAACACGCUCUCUAAGUUCUCACAUGGGCCCGCCGGAGUGCGUCCGCGUCCUGCCGGAUGAAAAGUGCACGUGUUAAAAAUAGAAAA